rnacentral:rRNA from 1 species
GACGAACGCUGGCGGCGUGCCUAAUACAUGCAAGUAGAACGCACAGUUUAUACCGUAGCUUGCUCCACCAUAGACUGUGAGUUGCGAACGGGUGAGUAACGCGUAGGUAACCUGCCUGGUAGCGGGGGAUAACUAUUGGAAACGAUAGCUAAUACCGCAUAAUAUUGAUUAUUGCAUGAUAAUUAAUUGAAAGGUGCAAUUGCACCACUACCAGAUGGACCUGCGUUGUAUUAGCUAGUAGGUGAGGUAACGGCUCACCUAGGCGACGAUACAUAGCCGACCUGAGAGGGUGAUCGGCCACACUGGGACUGAGACACGGCCCAGACUCCUACGGGAGGCAGCAGUAGGGAAGCUUCGGCAAUGGACGAAAGUCUGACCGAGCAACGCCGCGGGAGUGAAGAAGGGUGUCGGAUCGUAAAGCUCUGUUGUAAGAGAAGAACGGGUGUGAGAGUGGAAAGUUCACACUGUGACGGUAUCUUACCAGAAAGGGACGGCUAACUACGUG